rnacentral:rRNA from 1 species
CAGUCGCCGCGGUAAUACGUAGGGUGCGAGCGUUAAUCGGAAUUACUGGGCGUAAAGGGAGCGCAGGCGGACAUAUAAGUCCAUCUUAAAAGUGCGGGGCUCAACCCCGUGAGGGGAUGGAAACUGUAUGCCUUGAGUGCAGGAGAGGAAAGCGGAAUUCCCAGUGUAGCGGUGAAAUGCGUAGAUAUUGGGAGGAACACCAGUGGCGAAGGCGGCUUUCUGGACUGUAACUGACGCUGAGGCUCGAAAGCCAGGGGAGCGAACGGGAUUAGAGACCCCCGUAGUCCCUGUCUCUUAUACA